GAAAUGCGAUACUUGGUGUGAAUUGCAGAAUCCCGCGAACCAUCGAGUCUUUGAACGCAAGUUGCGCCCGAAGCCAACUUGGUUGAGGGCACGCCUGCCUGGGCGUCUCACGUUGCGUCGCCCGCGCCCCCUCCCCCCGCGAAAGCGAAGGGGGGAAGAAGGGCUGCGGGCGGAUGUUGGCCCCCCGCGCGCGCCCGCGCGCGGUCGGCCUAAAAGCGAGUCCCCCGCGACCGACGACGCGUCGCGACGAGUGGUGGUUGACAAACCGUUGCGUCGCCGCCAAGGCGCUCCGAUCGCGCCGCCGCCAAGGCGCUCCGAUCGCGACCCCAGGUCAGGCGGGAUUACCCGCUGAGUUUAA
rnacentral:misc_RNA from 1 species